rnacentral:rRNA from 1 species
AGAGUUUGAUCAUGGCUCAGGAUUAACGCUGGCGGUAUGCCUAACACAUGCAAGUCGAACGGAAUACUAAUUAAGAGAAUCUCACACUAGUGAGAGGUUCUCACGAGUAGUAUUUAGUGGCGGACGGGUGAGUAACACGUUGGAACCUGCCCCGAAGUGGGGAAUAACUGCUCGAAAGAGUAGCUAAUACCCCAUAGUAUCCGGUUUAUCCGGAUUAAAGAUUUAUCGCUUUAGGAGGGGCCUGCGUCUGAUUAGCUAGUUGGUGAGGUGAAAGCUCACCAAGGCGACGAUCAGUAGCUGGUUCGAGAGGAUGACCAGCCACACUGGGACUGAGAUACGGCCCAGACUCCUACGGGAGGCAGCAGUGAGGAAUCUUCCACAAUGGGCGCAAGCCUGAUGGAGCAAUACCGCGUGCAGGAAGACGCUUUUCGGAGUGUAAACUGCUUUUGUCGUCGAAGAUUAUGACUGUAGACGAAGAAUAAGGACCGGCUAACUACGUG